GACCCGCUAGCUCAGCCGGUAGAGCAGCGCCCUUUUAAGGCGAUGGUCCCGCGUUCGAAUCGCGGGCGGGUCACCA
rnacentral:tRNA from 1 species